CAGUUUUCUUUCUCUUUUGUAGGCUAUUCAGUGCUGUUAGUCUGGGUGUAUUCCAGCACAGCGUCUGUCUGUCUGUCUGUCUGUCUAUCUGGCCCCAUUUUCUCUUGUGUCUGAGGUGCUUACAGGGCUGUAGCUUACUGAUCAGGAGGGACUGCUUGCCACACAUAACAGUAAAGAAAAACUCGGCACGCUCUCUCUCUGACAUCGCCAGAGCCUCCCAACGAACGUCAGCGGAAUGUGUGUGUGAGUGUGCAGCUUGGAGCAGUCAUAACAACCUCGCACGAAGACGGAAGAAGCAUCCUCUUCAAAGGGCAGUGCCUUGAUGUUCUCAUCGAAGUGCAAACAAGACUCCAUACUUCAAGACUUCAAAUGUGGAGAGAGAGAGAGAGGGAAACAAUUGUGCCUCCUCAAAGUGUACAGGAAGGGAAGCGGAGAUCUUUAUCCACCGGUUGUUGAGUCUUCAACGGUUGGUUUAGUAAUGUUGCAUUAUUAAAACCCCUGGCUGUGGCUGAAAACGAGCUUCGGUGCGGCUUGCGGUGUGCGGCUGACGACAAGGUUUGGGGAUUGAAAUGCUAUCCACCAAUGUCUCCACAUGAAUAAGUUAUUCCCCUUGUACUGUUGUGUCCCUGGUCCGCUGCUGCAGGCCUUCUAAUUGCCUCCCACAUGGUCGGGAAAGAAAUACACACAUACAGACACUCAUAGGGUAUUGACAACAGAGAGGCACAUAUACACACAUUUUUUUCUGCACACCAUAGUGGACAUUACAGUGAAAAACCCACGACCUGGACAUAUAUAGUCGAUAACUAGCAUGAUUAUUUAAUUGAGUGGUGCUUUGAGAAACUCCCUUGUUUGUGGGUAACAUUUAAAUACGCAAAUAGUGAAAAGACACAGUGAUCUGAGGUUACAAACCCAAUGUGAACAGUUACUCUUAUAUGAUAUCUACUAAACAAGACCAGUAAACAUUGAAACAUGCUUGAGUCAUUGCUUGCUCUUGUCAUCCUAACUAACCCACAGCUUCCAUUAACCAAUCUGUUUGCACCACACAGUGUUGCACAGUGCUCAUUUGGGUUGGGACACAGUAUUCCCAGGUCAGCCUAUUCCAAUGUGAACGCAUUGUGCCUUUGAGUGUAACGAAGGGGGUUGAUCAUGCUGUAAUUAGUAAACAUCUGCUGUGACUCAGGCCCAUUGUGUGUCUGUCGACCUAAGAUUAAUCCACAUGCUUUCCUCUGUCAUUAGCUAGACCAAGCUGUGACCACAGGACAAAUACAGUAACAAGGAAAGCGACAGCUCAGAGCAGGUUUAAUGGAACCAUUAGUGGUCAGAGUUUCCCACAGGUCUGGAAUAGACCUUUCACAGAUUUAACUCUCCUCUCCAUUUACCCACAUGAGAAUAAAGCACUUUUUAGUGUGUCUAAAGAUGGCA
ensembl:lncRNA